rnacentral:tRNA from 1 species
GCCUAGGUGGCUUAGUCAGUUAAGCACUGACUUCGGCUCAGGUAAUGAUCUUGCAGUUUGUGGGUUCGAGUCCCACAUCAGGCU